rnacentral:rRNA from 1 species
GAUGAACGCUGGCGGCGUGCCUAAUACAUGCAAGUCGAGCGAACGGACGAGAAGCUUGCUUCUCUGAUGUUAGCGGCGGACGGGUGAGUAACACGUGGAUAACCUACCUAUAAGACUGGGAUAACUUCGGGAAACCGGAGCUAAUACCGGAUAAUAUUUUGAACGGCAUGGUUCAAAAGUGAAAGACGGUCUUGCUGUCACUUAUAGAUGGAUCCGCGCUGCAUUAGCUAGUUGGUAAGGUAACGGCCUACCAAGGCAACGAUGCAUAGCCGACCUGAGAGGGUGAUCAGCCACACUGGAACUGAGACACGGUCCAGACUCCUACGGGAGGCAGCAGUAGGGAAUCUUCCGCAAUGGGCGAAAGCCUGACGGAGCAACGCCGCGUGAGUGAUGAAGGUCUUCGGAUCGUAAAACUCUGUUAUUAGGGAAGAACAUAUGUGUAAGUAACUGUGCACAUCUUGACGGUACCUAAUCAGAAAGCCACGGCUAACUUCGUG